rnacentral:rRNA from 1 species
GACCAUCUCCCAAGGCUAAAUACUAACUAGUGACCGAUAGCGAACAAGUACCGUGAGGGAAAGGUGAAAAGAACCCCGGAAGGGGAGUGAAAUAGUUCUUGAAACCGUGUGCUUACAAGAAGUUCGAGGCCGUUAAUGGCUGAGAGCGUGCUUUUUGUAGAAUGAACCGGAGAGUUACGAUUGCGUGCAAGGUUAAGGUGCAAAGACUGGAGCCGUAGCGAAAGCGAGUCUUAAUAGGGCGAAUCAGUACGUAGUUGUAGACCCGAAACCGAGUGACCUAUCCAUGGUCAGGUUGAAGGUGGGGUAAUACCUACUGGAGGACCGAACAAGUGGGUGUUAAAAAACCCUUUGAUGAACUGUGGAUAGCGGUGAAAUUCCAAUCGAACUCGGAGAUAGCUGGUUCUAUCCGAAAUACAUUUAGGUGUAGCCUUGCAAUUAGCUUACUGGAGGU